AGCUCGUGUCGUGAGAUGUUGGGUUAAGUCCCGCAACGAGCGCAACCCCUAUCAACAGUUGCCAUCAUUAAGUUGGGAACUCUGUUGAGACUGCCGUUGAUAAAACGGAGGAAGGUGGGGAUGAUGUCAAGUCAUCAUGGCCUUUAUGUUCAGGGUUACACACGUGUUACAAUGGACGGUACAAAACGUCGCGAUCCUGCAAGGGGGAGCUAAUCGCAAAAACCGUUCUCAGUUCGGAUUGAAGUCUGCAACUCGACUUCAUGAAGUUGGAAUCGCUAGUAAUCGCAGAUCAG
rnacentral:rRNA from 1 species